AGUGAACGCUGGCGGUAGGCCUAACACAUGCAAGUCGAACGGCAGCACAGUAAGAGCUUGCUCUUACGGGUGGCGAGUGGCGGACGGGUGUGGAAUACAUCGGAAUCUACUUUUUCGUGGGGGAUAACGUAGGGAAACUUACGCUAAUACCGCAUACGACCUACGGGUGAAAGCAGGGGAUCUUCGGACCUUGCGCGAUUGAAUGAGCCGAUGUCGGAUUAGCUAGUUGGCGGGGUAAAGGCCCACCAAGGCGACGAUCCGUAGCUGGUCUGAGAGGAUGAUCAGCCACACUGGAGCUAAGACACGGUCCAGACUCCUACGGGAGGCAGCAGUGGGGAAUAUUGGACAAUGGGCGCAAGCCUGAUCCAGCCAUACCGCGUGGGUGAAGAAGGCCUUCGGGUUGUAAAGCCCUUUUGUUGGGAAAGAAAAGCAGCAGGUUAAUACCCCGCUGUUCUGACGGUACCCAAAGAAUAAGCACCGGCUAACUUCGUG
rnacentral:rRNA from 1 species